rnacentral:rRNA from 1 species
UACGAAGGGAGCUAGCGUUGUUCGGAAUUACUGGGCGUAAAGGGCGCGUAGGCGGUCUUGUAAGUCUUGUGUGAAAUCCCUCGGCUUAACUGAGGAACUGCACGGGAUACUGCGAGACUUGAGAUCGGGAGAGGGAAGCGGAAUUCCGGGUGUAGCGGUGAAAUGCGUAGAUAUCCGGAGGAACACCGGUGGCGAAGGCGGCUUCCUGGACCGACACUGACGCUGAGGCGCGAAAGCUAGGGGAGCAAACGGG